AAGGGCCGAAGCAGCAACCUCUUUCAAAUCAAUUUCUGGCUCCUGGAUACAGAGUACUAAAAGAGGAACAGUUCCCGUAUCCACCACAGCUUGUGACAGUUCUGUGGGUCCAAGAAAAGUAAUUAAGCUAAUAAUGUUCAGUGUGAGGAAGACUGCAGAAGCACUGAGGGGAGAUUGCUGUGAAGCUCAUGGAGCUUCCAAGGACUUGGGCUAGGCCUAGCAAUUUUGUACCUACAAUUUCAGGUCCAUCUCCAAACUGAUACAGUCCUGCAAAACCAGGGCAUGCUCUUAGAGAAGAGUGGUGAACACUGGAAAAGUGAAAGUGGCAGCAA